rnacentral:rRNA from 1 species
GUUUGACCUCAAAUCAGGUAGGAAUACCCGCUGAACUUAAGCAUAUCAAUAAGCGGAGGAAAAGAAACCAACAGGGAUUGCCUUAGUAGCGGCGAGUGAAGCGGCAAAAGCUCAAAUUUGAAAUCUGGCACCUUCGGUGUCCGAGUUGUAAUUUGAAGAUUGUAACCUUGGGGUUGGCUCUUGUCUAUGUUUCUUGGAACAGGACGUCACAGAGGGUGAGAAUCCCGUGCGAUGAGAUGCCCAAUCCUAUGUAAGGUGCUUUCGAAGAGUCGAGUUGUUGGAAAA